GACGAACGCUGGCGGCGGGCUUAACACAUGCAAGUCGAACGGAAAGGCCCUGCUUUUGUGGGGUGCUCGAGUGGCGAACGGGUGAGUAACACGUGAGUAACCUGCCCUUGACUUUGGGAUAACUUCAGGAAACUGGGGCUAAUACCGGAUAGGAGCGCCUGCUGCUUGGUGGGGGUUGGAAAGUUUCGGCGGUUGGGGAUGGACUCGCGGCUUAUCAGCUGGUUGGUGGGGUAGUGGCUUACCAAGGCUUGGACGGGUGGCCGGCCUGAGAGGGGGACCGGCCACAUUGGGACUGAGAUACGGGACGGAGUCCUACGGGAGGCAGCAGUAGGGAAUAGUGCACAAUGGGCGGAAGCCUGAUGCAGCAACGCCGCGUGAGGGAUUACGGCCUUCGGGUUGUAAACCGCUUUAGCCUGUGACGAAGCGUGAGUGACGGUAAUGGAUAAAGAAGCACCGGCUAACUACGUG
rnacentral:rRNA from 1 species